AUGCCUUACACAUGCAAGUCGAACGGCAGCACGGGAGCAAUCCUGGUGGCGAGUGGCGAACGGUGAGUAAUAUAUCGGAACGUGCCCAGUCGUGGGGGAUAACGUAGCGAAAGCUACGCUAAUACCGCAUACGAUCUAUGGAUGAAAGCGGGGGAUCGCAAGACCUCGCGCGAUUGGAGCGGCCGAUAUCAGAUUAGGUAGUUGGUGAGGUAAAGGCUCACCAAGCCGACGAUCUGUAGCUGGUCUGAGAGGACGACCAGCCACACUGGGACUGAGACACGGCCCAGACUCCUACGGGAGGCAGCAGUGGGGAAUUUUGGACAAUGGGCGCAAGCCUGAUCCAGCAAUGCCGCGUGCAGGAUGAAGGCCUUCGGGUUGUAAACUGCUUUUGUACGGAACGAAACGGUGAGCUCUAAUACAGUUUGCUAAUGACGGUACCGUAAGAAUAAGCACCGGCUAACUACGUG
rnacentral:rRNA from 1 species